CUUGAUCAAGAGAGUCCCUCUCCACUUGAUUGAUUUGCAGGUGUGUCAUGGCGUCAUUUGAGCGGUCAAUCUUUAUUUCGCCUUAUUGGAACAUGGUUUCUGAAGUUGGAUGGCCUAAUUUUCAUCUCUGCAAACUCAAUGGAGUGCUCGUGGCCCUUCCAGUGGAACCAAUUGACACCCUGAGGAUGAACAAAUGCAAUCCAUUCAAAAAUAGGCUAAAACUGACCCCCAUGAGCCGGCACAUAUGUGACCCUGUAGUUGUCCACCCGGGCUCUUGGAACUACCCAGUGGACAGUAGCAGAUGAGUCAGUGACAUCAGAGAAGCGUAUUCCUUUGGGAGGACCCAGAUCUGGCAGAAAUGACACAUUGGACACAAAAAAAGACAAAACAGAAGGUCUUGAGUCAGUAUGGUCUUUAGGUUCUCAUGCUGGUGAGUACUACAGAACGGAAAAAAGAAAGUAAGUGUGUCAAUGGGCAACUAAUUACGCAUGAAAUCAAGCAUUUUAGCAUUAGAACACAUUUGUUAAAGCAGAAAGCUUGAACACAGUCCUUCUCUAAAGGCACGGAGUAGGAGGCAAAGAGCGAGUUUGUAAGGCAAUGUAGACGGACAAAGGAGACCAGUGGAAGCCAGCGCUGACACAGAGUACUUCCCAGUAACGGCCAGUAGUAACAGUAUCUUGCGUGACAGACCUGAGGAGAUUAACUUGUCCCCAUUUCAUCAAGAGACAAAACAUCCGCCACGCAACCCAGGAGUAAAGCCUUAGCCCCAGGGAACAAAAGGGACACCACCAUAGUCACCAGUUUUAUGACAGAGACAGUAACCCCACCUCCUUCCAUUCAAAAAAGAAUCAAAGACAUCCUGGGUAGUACAACCAGACACAGGAAAGCACAGUAAAGGUCCUAAGUGGUAGCCAACUGACAUGUCUCAUAUUUUAAGGAUGAAAACUUGGACCCAAUUUUCAAUUCUUCAUUUUUAAAUGACUGCUGCAGUUCACUUCAACCACUCAGGAUUACUGGUAGACACCAAGCCACUGACACAAGGCAACACAAACACAUUUGUCGUUUAAAAAAAAAAAAAAGGUCUCUUAAUGAAAACACAUAGGUUUUAAAGUUUAUA